CAACUGCAGAAACAUGUUAUAAGUGGUCCAUUUGGUUUGUUUUAUAUGCCCCAUAAUUGUCCUAUAAGUAGAAAUUGGUCCGGGUUCUUAUGGGUUUUAAUACAGCGCUAUCAGAAAGUCCUGAACCAGUGGCGGCUGGUGGCAAAUUUUCUAGGUGGGGCGGCACAUCCAAAAAUGUUAGCAUACAUCUUUAUGAUUUAUCAGAAUCAGAAAGAGCUUUACUGGCCAGGUAUGUUUACACAUACGAGGAAUUUGUUAUACACUGUAAAAAAGUAUUUCGCAGUUUAGUUGUUUCAAUUAAUGUUUUUAAGUUGACUCAACUUUCAGUUCAUUAGUUUGUUCAUUCAACUUAAAAUUUUAAAUUUCACCGUCUCAACUAGUUCCUUAAGUUGACAAAACUAGCCAUUUGCCCCCUCAACUUAAAAAAAUGUGUUGAAUCAAUUUAAUAACGAUAUCACGUCACUUAUCGCGAGAUCACGUGAAGACUUGCAGAAAGAAGACGUUGGUCAGCCAUCUUGAUGAGCUUCUCCUCAGAGCUUGAAAAUGUUUUCAAACCAGCACUUUUGUUAAAGUACAGAAGUGCCUCGCCGGAACCCAUGGCAACGCUGCCUGAAUAUACGGUCGGUUAAAAAAUUGUAGGUAUGAAAAGUAAUAAUGGCAUAUAUCUUGUAUAAAAAGCCCUGUGAUAAGGAUAAUCACAAAUGUGUAAAAUUAGCUUUUCUGUUGUUUUGUUCUAAUUUCCUGUGUUAUGUAAUUUAAAAGCCUUUUCUGGAUUGUAAAAUAUGGUUUUGGUAAUUGAAACGUAAACUAGCAAUGACAUUUGACUUUCGCUGUCAAGAUUAUUUAUUUGUAUUUAUAGUGUUGUUUUAACAUGUUUCUGUAUUUUCCAUGUUCAUGAUAUUCUGGAAUGACUAAAGAUCAGCACAGAAUUCUUGUGGAUGGACCUCAGCAAGUCCUUCUGCAGUUGUAUCCAUCAAAGUGCUAUGCAGACACAAUGGGAAUGACUGUCACAUUGUAGAGCUUGGACAAAUUCACACAGGUUCUCAAGAGGAAUUCAUCAAGGACAAGUCUGUUGGCAUUAUAGUUGUUGGGUGACCAAAAUGAGCACCAUCAAUCUGCAGUGAUGUGGUCCCGGUAAUAGAAGAAGAAAUCUUGUUUAUCUGCAGUUGUAACACCCAUCUCAUGAAUUGAGGUGACAUGGGCAUCUUGAUUGUGACUGAGGAGGAGGAAUGGGAGGUGCUUCCAAAAUAUACCAAUGACGUUGCUAUCAUUUUGGAAGAGCGUCUUGUCACCAUCAAUAUCUGUGAUGUCCCGAAAGCAUUUGUGCUCCUGAUGGGUCGUCUUUACAUCAUUAACAAAACACAGUACAGUUCUGAUGUUCUCAAAACUUUGCACGAACAUUGGUGGGAGUAACUGUUCUUCACGUGUUUACGGGCUACGAAACAUGCUACUCUGCAAAAAGUAGGCUUUUUGGUUGGUUUUUGCACUUUCUUCAACUCACAUUUUUUGCCAUGUUAUGGCAUCUCUUUUUAAAAUUUUGAAUGCACUUUGAUGCAUGUUCUGACUUCUGACUUAUAUUGAAAUGGAAAAUUACAGAAUUACUCAUCUGUUCUUUUGAUUAAAUGUGCAUUAGUGAAAGGAAUGUAGAUAUUUACUGCAAUUGUUCCAAAGAAAUUAAAUGUUAAUAUGAAAUGUCAGUGUUUGUUUUUAAAGGUGUUUUUAUACUAAACGCACUAAUACUAAAUAUGCUGUCAAUUUUGAAAUAAAAAUGUCAUGGACAUUUAAGAACAUGCAAUGUAUUUUAUUUUAUGCGAGUAGAAAAUAGAAACUUGAGUUGUGUGGGCAAAUUACAUAGUUCAGCCAGUUGAAUGAACUUAACAUUACUAGUAAGAUGAACUAUUCUUGAAAAAGUAACCUGGCUGCCUUAAAAAUAUAAGUUAAUUCAACAAGAAGCUUAGUUUGGCCAAUUUGUAUUAAGUUUGCAGAACUUAUACUUACAAGUUUAUUCAACAAAAUGCUUAGUUUAAACAACUCAACGUUUGUUGGUCUUACUAAUUUU